GUUAAUAUAGUUUAAAUAAAACGUUGAUUUGUGGUAUCAAAAAUUUUUUUGUUAACA
rnacentral:tRNA from 1 species